GACGAACGCUGGCGGCGUGCUUAACACAUGCAAGUCGAACGGAAAGGCCUGCUUUCCCUUGUGGAUUGCGGGUACUCGAGUGGCGAACGGGUGAGUAACACGUGAGUGAUCUGCCCCCAACUUGGGUAUAAGCCUGGGAAACUGGGUCUAAUUCCCGAUAGGACUGCAGGGUGGUGCCUGUGGUGGAAAACGAUUUUCUAGUGGUUGGGGAUGAGCUCGCGGCCUAUCAGCUUGUUGGUGGGGUAAUGGCCUACCAAGGCGGCGACGGGUAGCCGGCCUGAGAGGGUGGACGGCCACAUUGGGACUGAGAUACGGCCCAGACUCCUACGGGAGGCAGCAGUGGGGAAUAUGGCACAAGGGGCGGAAGCCUGAUGCAGCGACGCCGCGUGGGGGAUGACGGCCUUCGGGUUGUAAACUCCUUUCGGCCGCGAGGAAGCCACCUGGUUGGAAGGGUGGUGACGGUAGUGGUAGAAGAAGCACCGGCUAACUACGUG
rnacentral:rRNA from 1 species